CCUACGGGAGGCAGCAGUAAGGAAUAUUGGUCAAUGGAGGCAACUCUGAACCAGCCAUGCCGCGUGCAGGAAGACUGCCCUAUGGGUUGUAAACUGCUUUUAUCCGGGAAUAAACCUACUUACGUGUAAGUAGCUGAAUGUACCGGAAGAAUAAGGAUCGGCUAACUCCGCGCCAGCAGCCGCGGUAAUACGGAGGAUCCAAGCGUUAUCCGGAUUUAUUGGGUUUAAAGGGUGCGUAGGCGGCCUGUUAAGUCAGGGGUGAAAGACGGUAGCUCAACUAUCGCAGUGCCCUUGAUACUGAUGGGCUUGAAUGGACUAGAGGUAGGCGGAAUGAGACAAGUAGCGGUGAAAUGCAUAGAUAUGUCUCAGAACACCGAUUGCGAAGGCAGCUUACUAUGGUCUUAUUGACGCUGAGGCACGAAAGCGUGGGGAUCAAACAGGAUUAGAUACCCUGGUAGUCCACGCCCUAAACGAUGAACACUCGCUGUUGGCGAUACACAGUCAGCGGCUAAGCGAAAGCGUUAAGUGUUCCACCUGGGGAGUACGCCCGCAAGGGUGAAACGUCAAAGAGUAGUACGACGAGAGAGAGCGACGACGACGACGAGGAGGGAGGNG
rnacentral:rRNA from 1 species